rnacentral:rRNA from 1 species
AUUGAACGCUGGCGGCAGGCCUAACACAUGCAAGUCGAACGACUGGCGGACGGGUGAGUACUGUCUGGGAAACUGCCUGAUGGAGGGGGAUAACUACUGGAAACGGUAGCUAAUACCGCAUACCAUCAGAUGUGCCCAGAUGGGAUUAGCUAGUAGGGGGGGUGACGGCUCACCUAGGCGACGAUACCUAGCGGGUCUGAGAGGAUGACCAGCGACACUGGAACUGAGAGACGGUCCAGACUCCUACGGGAGGCAGCAGUGGGGAAUAUUGCACAAGGGGCGAAAGCCUGAUGCAGCCAUGCCGCGUGUAUGAAGAAGGCAUUCGGGUUGUAAAGUACUUUCAGCGGGGAGGCGUUACCCGAAGAAGAAGCACCGGCUAACUCCGUGCCAGCCGCCGCGGUAAUUC